rnacentral:rRNA from 1 species
GCGGUUAUACUUGUUCUUCGACUCAAAGAAUAAAAACGAAUCAAACCCAUUAAACUUGUCUAAUAAAAAUUUUAUGUUAAUAUUUUCAAAAUUAUUUUUUUGAACUGGAUUAGUACCCAGGUAAAAGAAUGAAUUAAGUAAGGUAAAACCUAAAUUAAAUGGCAGUAUUUUUGAAAAAGUAGAGAAACUUGAAAUUUAGAAAGUCCACUAUAUAGUUUAUUUUCUAAAAGUUUAAGUAUGGCUGUCCAAAAAUAAGUAAAUACUUAAAUUUGUAGUCAAGUAACAUUUAACUUAGAAAAAAUUUUUGAGUUGCAACAACAUAUUAACUUGUUUUACUAAAGGAAGGAUUUACAAGUAAAAACAAUUCUAUGAAAAGAGUCGCUAUGUACA